AUUUACUUCACUCAGAGUUCUUCUUGGAAAUGAUGUGAUUUGGGCACUAAUGUAGCCACCUAUUUCUCCUCACCUGCUACCUCUCUGAGUCAUUGCUCAGGAUCCAGCCUUAGAGACUGGAAGGAGGAUCAGCCUGAUUGCUGUAAUUCUACGGGUGCCCAUGGAGUUGGACAAGUUCCACAAUACUUAUUAAAGCUUCUCUGUCUUGAGCAGUGGAGAAUUGUUUUAUCCAGAACAUUCUUGUACAAGGAGGGACCAGAAGCAUCCUGAAAAUGAGCAAAGGAGAAGGAAAUUAGAUGAUCUCAACCUUGUGUUCAUCCGAAGGUCAUGAGAGUAAGCCACCAGAAGCCCAGGAACGAGAGUUCGUGUCAGGAUGGCUGGAAGCCAGACAACGUGGAACCAAGUGCUGAGUGAGCUGCCUGGUUCACUCCAGCACAGCAGAGAUGUGGGCUUAUCUAUCCAUCAGCCACGCCACAUUUAAAAGUGAACUUGGUGGGGCUAAUGCUACAUAGAAACUAUGUUAAGUCUGUAUCCACUCUCUUUAGAGAUGGUUGGGGGCAUAAGGGAGAAUAUGUCCCCCCUCAAAGGUUGAGGGUGGGGGAGAAUAUGCUUAUACUUUUGUUCUUGCUGUAUCUUCAAAGAAAUAUGCCUUUGUAGAAGUUUUUGUUGUUGUUGUUGCUAAUUGGUUGAAAGGAAGUGGAGCAAUAAUUACCGGAGGUUAACAUUGAGGAGAAAACACUGGAAUGAGAUGUCAAGCUAAUGGCAUUAA